AUAACUUGGACAAUUAGCGAUAAGAAGUGUUUUUCCAUCACAGAAGCAGAUAUUGAUUCGCCCAACAUAAAACAGUUUGUAAAUAUGUUGAAUAACCAGAAAAUCGUGCUUUAUGAAAAAUAAUCGCUAGCUCAAUGCUAACUGUAACGCCUGGAGACAAAACAUGUUGUAGAGAUAUACCUUAGUGUUGAAAUCUUUUAAUCUUGUACUUCUGAGAUAAAGCGUGAGACAUUUUAAACAUGUUCACGGAUGAAACUCUUGCUUUAAUUGGCGCUGAAUCGACAUGGAGAAAGUCACACCAGCAAACGCAAGAAUCGAGAAGCUGUCAAACUCUUCCAGUUCACACAAGCCAAAGAUGUGUUAGACAGCAGCACCAGUACAGAAGACCAGAUCAGUCAAACACUCCCCCAAGAUCAAAACAUCUCUCACUUUCCUGGUGUCUGCACUUCUUGUAUAGAGCUGAAGACGUAGUUACCAAAGAACUGGUGAAAAGCUCCAAGAGUCAUGCUUUUUGAUGGGUUUGAGGUUAACUGUGAGGAUCACAGUCGGUGAGAGCCUUGAAUGCAAAA